rnacentral:lncRNA from 1 species
CUCCUGUGGGCCUGGCCUCAGGGCUAUGGACAGACUCCUGUCCCAUCCCAGAGACCCCUCGUGAUCGUGCCCUGGCACGUGGGCCGUGGCCCGGCUGGGUCGGCUGAAGAACUGCGGAUGGAAGCUGCGGAAGAGGCCCUGAUGGGGCCCACCAUCCCGGACCCAAGUCUUCUUCCUGGCGGGCCUCUCGUCUCCUUCCUGGUUUGGGGGUCCUAAGCCUUUGGGUCCCACAGAGCACGACUUCGCUCCGUGAACAGCACCAACCCAAGUCUGUUCCAUGUCUCCACACCUGCCCCUUCCGCUCCAUAGGCAGCUGGUGGCGGAAGCCAUCACCUGGAUGCCUACGUGGGAAGGGACCUCGAAUGUGGGACCCCAGCCCCUCUCCAGCUCGAAAUCCCUCCACAGCCACGGGGACACCCUGCACCUAUUCCCACGGGACAGGCUGGACCCAGAGACUCUGGACCC